rnacentral:rRNA from 1 species
UUGGAGGGCAAGUCUGGUGCCCGCAGCCGCGGUAAUUCCAGCUCCAAUAGCGUAUAUUAAAGUUGUUGCAGUUAAAAAGCUCGUAGUUGAAUUUCGGGAUCAGUACGCUGGUCGUGCCUUUGGUAUGUACUGGUGUCACUGAUUCCUCCCUUCUGAAGAACCGUUAUGCCAUUUAUUUGGUGUGGCGGGAAAUCAGGACUGUUACUUUGAAAAAAUUAGAGUGUUUAAAGCAGGCUCGCGCUUGAAUACAUUAGCAUGGAAUAAUGAAAUAGGACGUUUGAUCUUAUUUUGUUGGUUUCUAGGAUCGACGUAAUGAUUAAUAGGGAUAGUUGGGGGCAUUAGUAUUCAAUUGUCAGAGGUGAAAUUCUUGGAUUUAUUGAAGACUAACUACUGCGAAAGCAUUUGCCAAGGAUGUUUUCAUUAAUCAAGAACGAAAGUUAGGGGAUCGAAGACGAUCAGAUACCGUCGUAGUCUUAACCAUAAACUAUGCCGACUAGGGAUCGGAUGAUGUUAAUUUUUUAAUGACUCAUUCGGCGCCUUACGGGAAACCAAAGUGUUUGGGUUC